rnacentral:rRNA from 1 species
GAUCAGAUCACCGCUAUUGGGGUUCGACUAAGCCAUGCGAGGCGAGAGGGGUUAAGCCCUCGCCGCACUGCUGAGUAACACGUAGUUAACCUGCCCUUAGGUGGGGAAUAAUCUCGAGAAAUUGAGGCUAAUGCCCCAUAGGUUUUGGAUACUGGAAUGUUCUAAAACUGAAAGCUCCGGCGCCUAAGGAUGGGACUGCGGCUUAUCAGGCAGUUGUGAGGGUAAAAUCCUCACAAACCUGUAACGAGUAGGGGCCAUGAGAGUGGGAGCCUCCAGAUGCCUUCUGAGACAUAAAGGCAGGGCCUACGGGUCGCAGCAGGCGCGAAAACUUUCCAAUGCGCUGACGCGUGAGAAGGGAACCUUGAGUGGCUAUGCUUUGCAUAGUCUUUUCCUCAGUCUCGAUCGCUGGGGGAAUAAGCAGUGGGCCAGACGGGUGCCAGCCGCCGCGGUAAUACCCGCGCUGCGAGUGGUGAUCCCGAUUAUUGGGCCUAAAGCGUCCGUAGCCGGCUCGGCAAGUCCUUGGUGAAAUCCUGCAGCUAACUGCAGGGCGUGCUGAGGAUACUACCGGGCUUGGGAUUGGGAGAAAUCUGGGGUAUUCCACGGGUAGGGGUUAAAUCCUUUAACCCGUGGAGGACCGCCUGUGGCGAAGGCGCCAGAUUAGAACAAGUCCGACGGUGAGGGACGAAAGCUGGGGGAGCAACCCGGAUUAGAUACCCGGUUAGUCCCAGCCGUAAACGUUGCCCGCUUGGUGUUGCAUGUCUUAAGUAGAUAUGCAGUGCCGGAGCGUAGGUGUUAAGCGGGCCGCCUGGGGAGUACGUCCGCAAGGAUGAAACUUAAGGGAAUUGGCGGGGGAGCACAGCACACAAGAGG